CAGUCAAUAAAGUAUGGCACUAUGACCCAGUACUUUAGCGAAUAAUAUUCUGUGUUAAUAUUUUUAUCUGCCCUGGGUUACAUUAAAGAUUUAGCUUGUUUUGAUUUUAAAAGUACUUAUAUUGUCUACUUUAUUUUGUU
rnacentral:pre_miRNA from 1 species